rnacentral:rRNA from 1 species
UAAGACAGAGGUGCCGAGCGUUAGGCGGAAUCACUGGGCUUAAAGCGUGUGUAGGCGGGCCGUUAAGUACCUUGUGAAAUCCCCCGGCUCAACCGGGGAACGGCUGGGUAUACUGGCGGCCUUGAGAGGCCUAGGGGCGAGCGGAACAAGCGGUGGAGCGGUGAAAUGCGUAGAUAUCGCUUGGAACGCCGACGGUGAAAACAGCUCGCUGGGGGCCAUCUGACGCUGAGACACGAAAGCCAGGGGAGCGAACGGGAUUAGAUACCCCGGUAGUCCUGGCCCUAAACGAUGUCCACUAGAUCGCCGGGCCUUUGACGGGCCUGGCGGUCGAAGCAAAAGUGCUAAGUGGACCGCCUGGGAAGUACGGUCGCAAGGCUA